GAUGAAGAACGUAGUGAAAUGCGAUAAGUAAUGCGAAUUGCAGAAUUCCAGUGAGUCAUCGAAUCUUUGAACGCACAUUGCGCCCGCCAGUAUUCUGGCGGGCAUGCCUGUUCGAGCGUCAUUACAACCCUCAGGCCCCCGGGCCUGGCGUUGGGGAUCGGCAGAAGCCCCCUGUGGGCACACGCCGUCCCUCAAAUACAGUGGCGGUCCCGCCGCAGCUUCCAUUGCGUAGUAGCUAACACCUCGCAACUGGAGAGCGGCGCGGCCAUGCCGUAAAACACCCAACUUCUGAAUGUUGACCUCGAAUCAGGUAGGAAUACCCGCUGAACUUAAGCAUAUCAAUAAGCGGAGGA
rnacentral:misc_RNA from 1 species